rnacentral:rRNA from 1 species
GUGUCAGCAGCCGCGGUAAUACGGAGGAUCCGAGCGUUAUCCGGAUUUAUUGGGUUUAAAGGGUGCUCAGGCGGGGGGUUAAGUCGGCGGUGAAAUUUUGCAGCUCAACUGUAAAAGUGCCUUCGAAACUGGUUCCCUUGAGUGCGGAUGAGGUAGGCGGAAUUUGUGGUGUAGCGGUGAAAUGCAUAGAUAUCACGAGGAACUCCGAUUGCGCAGGCAGCUUACCAAGCCGUAACUGACGCUCAAGCACGAAGGCGUGGGGAUCAAACAGGAUUAGAUACCCUGGUAGUCCACGCAGUAAACGAUGAUUACUGGCUGUUUGCGAUAUAAUGUAAGCGGCUGAGCGAAAGCGUUAAGUAAUCCACCUGGGGAGUACGUUCGCAAGAAUGAAACUCAAAUAAAUUGACGG